UUUUAUUUUGUGGCCCUCCUGU
rnacentral:piRNA from 1 species